rnacentral:lncRNA from 1 species
CUUCUUUCAUGUUUUGAAUUUCUUUUGAUAUAAUGGGAGGCAUACAGUAUAGAGUGAUGGUUCAUUCCAGUAAGAUUCUGCUAAGAUUUCUUCUACCGUACAGAACAUGCAAAUUCGGCCAACAGCUUUAUUCAGGAGCAGAUGUUUGUUAUUUCCAAGUUGCAAUAGUACUGGCCACACAGGGUGAUGUAUCACACUUUUAUUUUGUCACCGCUUCAUCAAUCAGCUGAGCACUGAUCGAUCCAGCUAGCACAGCAGUACAGCACUGAUCUUAGCAGCCACCACCAGCACAGGUAGUGGCCAGGCAUGCUGUAGGGGGGUUGUGGUGCAAUAAUCUGAGAUGUAUGAGCUGCGCAUCGAUGGGAGGGUGUGAAGCACCAUGCUCAUUAUCUCAAACUGAACCUGCUGCAGAGGCUGACCCAAACUCCACCAUGUAAGAAGGUUCAGUGAGGUGAGAGGCUUCUGACAUUUCAUUUAUCAUGUAAAACAUGCAAUUUUAUUCGGACAAAAGCUUUAUUCAGAAACAGAGGUCUGUUGUUUCCAAGUUGCAAUAGUACUGGCCACACAUGAUGAUGUAUGGCACUUUUAUUUUGUAACUCUUCAUCGAUCAACUAAACGGUGAUCGAUCUAGCUAGCACAUCACAGAUCUUAGCAGGCACCACCAGCACAGGUAGCUGUCAUGGGGAUGCUGUAGAUGGCGGGGGUGAUGGUGCUGCACGGGGUGGUGGUGCAAUAUUGUGGGAUGUUCACGCUGCACAUUGACGGAAGGGUCUGAAGCACCAUCCUCAUUAUCUCAACCGGAACCUGCUGCUGAGGCUGGCCGAAACUUUGCCCUUGCUGCUGCUGAGGCUGGCCGAAACGUUGCCCUUGCUGCUGCCGCAUGAUGAUCUGUGACACGCUACAGACGGCCUGGCACCGAGCCUGCUCCGAGAUCUGGGCCAGCGGCUGGCAGCACUGUUGCCGCAUCAACUGGCAACUGCUUGCCUGCCACAUCUGUGACUGGACAUAUGGUGUCUGGAUGCACUGCUGCAAGAAAGCAGCGCAUGUGUUCAUCUGCGGCUGUGGCUGCGGCUGCUGCUGGCAUUGCCCGUAGCCCUGGCUACAGGUAGUGUACAGCUGCGCAACUGCGCUUGUCGCCGUGAAGGCGAGGAGAGCGAGGAUGAACAUGGUCUUCAUGGUGGCUGGCUAUAAGCUUGCUUUGGUGUUUAUGUUUGUGUGAAGGGUGAUGAGGGAGGGUCUUCAUGGUGCAGGCCUAUUUAUAGCUGCCAUGGCAUCAUGUUGUGCAUUGCAUUCCUAGGUUCCUAUGCUAAAGCUUUUGCGUGCUUUUCCAACUGAUCAUCUCACACUCUUGUGUUAGGUGGCGCUACAAGUCCAAUCUUGGAUGGUCGUCAAAUAUACUUUUCAGCACAUAUCGUGUAGAUAUCAGUCAGCUUGCGCCUGACCUCGAUAAUCCAUAUGACUCAUCACUGAUCAUUUUACAUGUCAAGUGUAUAUCUCGAUUGUGUCUUUUUCGCGAAAUCAGUUUUGUUGUCUUGUACAAGUUGUUAGAUAUAAAUCAGAUUGGCAUGUCCAGCACUCCAUCUUACUGUUUUCUGAAAACUGGUUUUGUAUCGUUCUACUAAUUGAUAAUUGGUAAUAUAAACGGCAUCAGCAGAGCAUUGAUGACUCAUAAAUUUCCCUUUACAUGUCAAGGAUUGUCAUGGAGCUAUGCUUUGGCGUGUGAAACUGAAUUUGUUGUUUUUUGUACGCUGAGUUUAAUUGCUUCCUGGAACUGGUUUUGUAGUCUUGUAUAAGCUGGUAGGAGAUAAAAUGCCAUGAGUCAUCAAAUGAGUUUUACUCGUGGGAAGUCUGAUGUAGCAUUUUUGUAGCUUUGGCGAGUGAACCUAAACUUUUUCUUUUUUUUGUAAAAGGUAUGUGUUUUAUGCAUGUAUCAUGAGGAGAGUGGAUUUUUUUAGCUCGAGCUCCAUGCAGGUCUUUUUUCAAAAUUCGGAAAGUCAUAUUUUGAAGUUCCAAAAAAUCUGAAAAAAAUACACAUGGACUGCAUCUUUUCAACAACAACAACAACAACAACAAACAAGUUGGGGUAGCUUGAGCUGAAGAUCUCGCAACCAACUCAUGGUUCUGGCAUAUGGAUAGCUAACUUUCAUGCACCCCUUUCCAUGGCUAGUUCUUCGUUGAUAUUUCAGUCCUUCGGACUUCUCUCAUGUCAAGUUUGGUCUAUCCCGCCCUCUCUUACAUUAUCAACACGUUUUAGCCAUCCUUCUGGAUGCCUGCGCUGAAUAUGCCCAAACCAUCUAAGACGAUUUUGGACAAGCUUCUCUUCAGUCAGUGUUACCCCAACUUCUUUAAUGAAUACUGCACAUGUGUUAGAAAUACAAGGUUUUUUUUUCUACUGCUCACACUAAAAUGUACUCCCUCUGUUUCAAACUACUCGUCGUGGUUUUAGUUCAAAUUUGAACUAAAACCACGACGAGUAAUUUGGAACGGAGGGAGUAUUUUGUCAUGAAAUUUUACAGAGAUGUAUACCAGUGUUCCAAUGUGUCUAUUCUUUGUUCGGCCCAUCAAAUACCUAAUUCCCAAAUUAAGAUGUUCACUAGGAUAAACUAGACCGAGAUUAAUGUUUUUUGUGCAGACCUAGUGUUGUGUUUUUUGUGGUUAUUUCUGACAUGUUAUGGACUUAAAUAGAUGGACAUAGCUGUUGAAACCUGGGGCUGUGACAGGUUUUAGUGAUACCUAGAUAGAUACUUCAUCUGUUUCGGAAUUAGUUGCGCUCAAACGGAUGUAUCUUGACGUAUUUUAGUGCUAGAUACAUUUGCUUGAGCGUCAACUAAUUCCUGAUGGAGGGAGCAGUAUAAAUAUAGAAUUCGCAACACAAGUAAGCUAAACCAGAAUGGAACCCUUUGACUCCGCCCCGAUAAUAAUCUUGCGAACAAGGUGCUUAACCCUUUGCUAUAGAAUUAUAUCGUGAUAUAGGUGACCAUGUACUCCCUCCAUUCCUAAGUAUAAGUGUAUUUUGGAGAUAUCAAUAGGAACUACAUAAGGAUGUAUAUAGACAUACUUUAGAGUAUAGAUUCACUCAUUUUGUUUCGUAUGUAGUCCAUAUUGAAAUCUGUAAAAAGACUUAUAUUUAGAUACAGGGGGAGUAGUUCGCUAGAAAAAUCAUUCCUAUGAAGUUUGGGCUGGACUUGUAUCAAGUGUUGCUUCUCAAUAGAGUUAUAUUCCAGUAUACAUAUCCUCCAUUCUUCUAUCUUGUAUCCAACCUUCCAACCAACGAUGACAAAAUGUGGCUAGUAUGCUUGUUCAGUUUUUGGUACCUCCACGGUUUCUUGACUUGGCACCAAGUGUAUAGAGCACAAGAAUAUUAAUAUAUGUUGUCUCCCGCCCGUGAUUGUGCUGCACAAUGCUCAAUGGCUAUGACAUGUCGGCAAUUAAUCAGCUUCUGAUGUAGCAUUGAGUUUUAUCGUGUGUGUUGGAUAAUAACUUUACGUGUGUCAACAAUGUUAUCGAAUCCAUUAAUAUUUUUAUGAAGCUUGUUCAUGUGUGUAUGUUCCUUGAUCCAGUCUCUCUUCCUACGUAUUUACCGUCCCUAUCUUCAUGUUGUGAAAUUUUGGUUUAAUUGGGAGCCAUGUAGAGUAUGAUGAUUGUUCAAUUCAGUGAGAUGUGUCAUAGAUUUCAUUUGUUUCACGGAAAAUAAACCACCCCUAGAGUAUAAGGUUUUUCCUGAUGGUGUAAAACAGUAAAAUAAAAUAUGUGGGUGUGCCAAUAUCCAUUCAUAUAUACGAAAUAAAAAUACAAACAUGUGGCAUACAAAAAAAAGUAUAAUUAGGAGUGAAAUUAUGAAAAUAUAUCUUAUGCCUUUAGAUAUUAUUCAGUUAUAUCUACUAGGUUUUGUAACUUCCAUUGUUUCUUGACUUUGCAAAUGUAUUAUGCACAAUAAUAUGUAUCUAUAUUGUCUCCAGGAAGUGAUCAUCCUGCAGUGGCUCUAUGGGGAUUAAUCGACUUCUUAUGUAGCAGCUUGGUUGACAUUAAUUCUAUGAUUGAACAAGAAAGCACAUAGUGAAUAUGUCAACAUUGUUUCAAAUCUGCAACUCUUUAUAUAUUGCUCACACAUGUUUGUGGCCGUGUGUUGUUUGAUCUGGUCUCUCUCCAUAUGUGCCUUGUGCUGCUCUUUUACUUCUCCUUUCGUGUUCUGAAUUUAUCUUGAUUUAGUGGGAGGCAUACAAUAGAUUGAUGGUCCAUUUCGGUCAGAUGCUUCUGAGAUUUCAUCUAUCACGCAAAACAUGCAAUUUUAUUUGGACAACAAAUUUAUUCAGGAGCAGAUGUUUGUUAUUUCGAAGUUGCAAUAGUACUGACCACACAAGAUGAUGCGUGGGACCUGUAUUUUAUCAUCGCUUCAUCGAUCAACUGAACACUGAUCGACCUUGCUAGCACAACACAGAUUUUAGCAGCCACCACCAGCACAUGUAGGGGCCACAGUCAUGCUGUAGAGAGGGUGGAGUGAUGCUGCUCCAGGGGGCGGUAAUGCAGUAAUCUGGGGUGUACAGGCUGCACAUUGGCAGAAGGCUGUGAAGUACCAUCCUCAGUAUCUCAAACUGAACGUGCUGCGGAGGCUGGCCGUAACUUUGCCAUGUAAGAAGGUCAAUAAGGUGAGAUACUUCUAUGAUCUCAUUUAUCAUGCAAAACAUGCAAUUUUAUUCAGACAAAAGCUUUAUUCAGAAACAAAGGUUUCUUAUUUCUAUGUUGCAACAUCACUGGCCACACAUGAUGAUGUAUGGCACUUUUAUUUUAUUUUUCACCCUUCAUCCAUCAUCUAAACUAAAUGGUGAUCGAUCUAGUCAGCGCAACACCGAUUUUAGCAGGUACCACCAACACAGGUAGCGGCCAUAGGGAUGUUGUAGGGGGUCUGAAAGAUGGUGCUGCAUGGGGUGGUGGCGCAAUAUUGCGGGAUGUUCACGCUGCAGACCGAUGGAAGGGUCUGAAGCACCAUCCUCGUUAUCUCAACCGGAACCUGCUGAUGUGGCUGACCGAAACUUUGCACUUGUUGUUGCUGAGGCUGACUGAAACUUUGCCCUUGCUGCUGUCGCAUGAUGACAUGGGCCACGCUACAGACAGCUUGGCACCGAGCCUGCUCCGAGAUCUGGGCCAGCGGCUGGCAGCACUGUUGCCGCAUCACCUGGCAACCGCUUGCCUGCCACAUCUGUGACUGGACAUAUGGUGUCGGGC